CUAAAUAGAUAGGCAUUUAUUCGUUAGUCUUUUGCUGGCCUUCGCGGAAUGUACACGUGUGCAGGAGCAAUAAUUACUUUUUUCCCUCCUCAAAAGGUGUUAGUGUGUAAGACUGUCCCCUAUAACAUUUUCUGCAAUUGCAAAUGUGGCAACAAAUUAUGUUUGCCGGAAGGUCACAAAUGGAAAUAACGGGGUAGGUAACCGCUUCGACGACUUUUAUAAUAUAUACAGAAAAUACUGUACAUAUCGUUGAAGGUAGCUUUUUUAUUUUAGAUAUUUUCAUAUUAAUAAUAAGAGAUGAGCAACCGAAGCAGUGAUUGCGAUUCUAAACUUUUAAACUUGUGAAGUUGUACGCGCGUAGCAUUUGUAAUAAAUCUCAUACAUGAGUGAUCUGCGAAAGCGGAAC